AACGCACAUUGCGCCCGCCAGUACUCUGGCGGGCAUGCCUGUCCGAGCGUCAUUUCAACCCUCGAGCACUGCUCGGCGUUGGGGGCCUGCAGCAGCCCGCUGCAGCCCCCUAAGACCACCGGCGACGUCGCCCGCGGCUCCUUGCGCAGUACAUCUCUCGCACUGGUCCGCGGCGGCGCUGGCCGCUAAACCGCCCCACGGCACUUAGAACGGUUGACCUCGGAUCAGGUAGGAAUACCCGCUGAACUUAA
rnacentral:misc_RNA from 1 species